CCUACGGGAGGCAGCAGUGAGGAAUAUUGGUCAAUGGACGAGAGUCUGAACCAGCCAAGUAGCGUGAAGGAUGACUGCCCUAUGGGUUGUAAACUUCUUUUAUAUGGGAAUAAAAUGUUCCACGUGUGGGAUUUUGUAUGUAACAUACGAAUAAGGAUCGGCUAACUCCGUGCCAGCAGCCGCGGUAAUACGGGGGAUCCGAGUGUUAUCCGGAUUUAUUGGGUUUAAAGGGAGCGUAGGUGGAUUGUUAAGUCAGUUGUGAAAGUUUGCGGCUCAACCGUAAAAUUGCAGUUGAGACUGGCAGUCUGGAGUACAGUAGAGGUGGGCGGAAUUCGUGGUGUAGCGGUGAAAUGCUUAGAUAUCACGAAGAACUCCGAUUGCGAAGGCAGCUCACUGGACUGCAACUGACACUGAGGCUCGAAAGUGUGGGUAUCAAACAGGAUUAGAGACCCCAGUAGUC
rnacentral:rRNA from 1 species